rnacentral:rRNA from 1 species
CACGGGUGCGUAACGCGCUAUACAAUCUGCCUUUCACAUAGGGAUAGCCCGAAGAAAUUUGGAUUAAUACCCCAUAAUAUUAUUGGAUGGCAUCAUUUGAUAAUUAAAACUGCGGUGGUGAAAGAUGGGCAUGCGUCCUAUUAGCUAGUUGGAGUGGUAACGGCACCCCAAGGCUACGAUAGGUAGGGGUCCUGAGAGGGAGAUCCCCCACACUGGUACUGAGACAGGGACCAGACUCCUACGGGAGGCAGCAGUGAGGAAUAUUGGUCAAUGGUCGGAAGACUGAACCAGCCAUGCCGCGUGCAGGAAGAAUGCCUUAUGGGUUGUAAACUGCUUUUAUAUGGGAAGAAUAAGGCGUACGUGUACGUUGAUGACGGUACCAUAUGAAUAAGCAUCGGCUAACUCCGUGCCAGCAGCC